AUUGAACGCUGGCGGCAGGUCUAACACAUGCAAGUCGAACGAGUGGCGGACGGGUGAGUAAUGUCUGGGAAACUGCCUGAUGGAGGGGGAUAACUACUGGAAAAGGUAGCUAAUACCGCAUACCAUCGGAUGUGCCCAGAUGGGAUUAGCUAGUAGGUGGGGAAAAGGCUCACCUAGGCGACGAUCCCUAGCUGGUCUGAGAGGAUGACCAGCGAGGUGGGACAUGGGACACUGUCCAGACUCCGACGGGAGGCAGCAGUGGGGAAUAUUGCACAAUGGGCGCAAUCCUGAUGCAGCCAUGCCGCGUGUAUGAAGAAGGCCUUCGGGUUGUAAAGUACUUUCAGCGGGGAGGCGUUACCCGCAGAAGAAGCACCGGCUAACUCCGUGCCAGCAGCCGCGGUAAUAC
rnacentral:rRNA from 1 species